GUGGGGAAUAUUGCACAAUGGGCGAAAGCCUGAUGCAGCAACGCCGCGUGAGGGACGACGGCCUUCGGGUUGUAAACCUCUUUUAGUAGGGAAGAAGCGAAAGUGACGGUACCUGCAGAAAAAGCACCGGCUAACUACGUGCCAGCAGCCGCGGUAAUACGUAGGGUGCAAGCGUUAUCCGGAAUUAUUGGGCGUAAAGAGCUCGUAGGCGGUCUGUCGCGUCUGCUGUGAAAACUGGAGGCUCAACCUCCAGCCUGCAGUGGGUACGGGCAGACUAGAGGGAGGUGGGGGAGAUUGGAAUUCCUGGUGUAGCGGUGGAAUGCGCAGAUAUCAGGAGGAACACCGAUGGCGAAGGCAGAUCUCUGGGCCGUAACUGACGCUGAGGAGCGAAAGCGUGGGGAGCGAACAGGAUUAGAAACCCGUGUAGUCC
rnacentral:rRNA from 1 species